GGGGCUGACUGGUUUUGACAGCAGGCUGAUGUGGUAUGUAAGCAUGCAGGGUUUUGGUUGUUUGCCCUCAAUUAAAUGGCCGGAACAAUAAUUGGCGAAGAUAACUUUGCUCUUGCUGCCUAAUCGAAUUAUAGUAGAUUUAAGGCUCCUCUUCGGAGGAUUUGCGGCAUAAGAUGUUGCAACAAGACGUUUCCCGGGCGGUUCACACCUCUCUCCAACCCGAUCAGGAAGCGCUCGCAAUCAGGGGUUAGCAUUAAGGAAGCUUCGGACUUAAUGCGAAGUUAAGAAGAUAAGGUAGCAGUCGGUGGCUCUGAUCCAGCUGUUACUCGAAAAACAAGUCAGGCUAAGCAUGUAGAAAGCGUAUGGCUUCCCUGUUUGGACCAGGGUUCGAAUCCCUGCAGCUCCACAA
rnacentral:tmRNA from 1 species